rnacentral:ribozyme from 1 species
AAAUGUAUAUAUACAUAAUAUGUCGCUGAUUAUUCUUCAUUGUUUCUCGUUGGCCUUUUUUUUUAUUUAUUUUUUUUACACUUUUACCAAAUUUAUGCA